rnacentral:rRNA from 1 species
GACGAACGCUGGCGGCGUGCUUAACACAUGCAAGUCGAACGAAGUGGCGAACGGGUGAGUAACGCGUAAUCAACCUGCCCUUCAGAGGGGGACAACAGUUGGAAACGACUGCUAAUACCGCAUACUGAAGGAGGGGAUUGCGUCUGAUUGGCUAGGUGGAGGGGUAACGGCCCACCAAGGCGAUGAUCAGUAGCCUGGCUUGAGGGGGGAACGGCCAAAUUGGGACGUGGGCACGGGCCAGACUCCUACGGGAGGCAGCAGUGGGGAAUCUUCCGAAAUGGACGAAAGUCUGACGGAGCAACGCCGCGUGAGAGAUGACGGCCUUCGGGUUGUAAAGCUCUUUUAAGCGGGACGCGGUACCGGAAGAGAAAGCCACGGCUAACUACGUGCCAGCAGCCGCGGUAAUAC